rfam:Gossypium raimondii chromosome 2, whole genome shotgun sequence.
AACCCAUGAUGAGGGUAGCUUCUCAAUAAGUCAUUGAAUCUCUCCCAUGCAUCAUAUAAUGUCUCUAAAUUGAUCUAGGCAAUGAAAGAGAUGUCAUUCCUCAACUU